rnacentral:rRNA from 1 species
UGCUACAGGCUUGACACAUGCAAGUCGAGGGGCAGCAUGGUCUUAGCUUGCUAAGGCCGAUGGCGACCGGCGCACGGGUGAGUAACACGUAUCCAACCUGCCGUCUACUCUUGGACAGCCUUCUGAAAGGAAGAUUAAUACAAGAUGGCAUCAUGAGUCCGCAUGUUCACAUGAUUAAAGGUAUUCCGGUAGACGAUGGGGAUGCGUUCCAUUAGAUAGUAGGCGGGGUAACGGCCCACCUAGUCUUCGAUGGAUAGGGGUUCUGAGAGGAAGGUCCCCCACAUUGGAACUGAGACACGGUCCAAACUCCUACGGGAGGCAGCAGUGAGGAAUAUUGGUCAGUGGGCGAGAGCCUGAACCAGCCAAGUAGCGUGAAGGAUGACUGCCCUAUGGGUUGUAAACUUCUUUUAUAAAGGAAUAAAGUCGGGUAUGGAUACCCGUUUGCAUGUACUUUAUGAAUAAGGAUCGGCUAACUCCGUGCCAGCAGCCGCGGUAAUACGGAGGAUCCGAGCGUUAUCCGGAUUUAUUGGGUUUAAAGGGAGCGUAGAUGGAUGUUUAAGUCAGUUGUGAAAGUUUGCGGCUCAACCGUAAAAUUGCAGUUGAUACUGGAUAUCUUGAGUGCAGUUGAGGCAGGCGGAAUUCGUGGUGUAGCGGUGAAAUGCUUAGAUAUCACGAAGAACUCCGAUUGCGAAGGCAGCCUGCUAAGCUGCAACUGACAUUGAGGCUCGAAAGUGUGGGUAUCAAACAGGAUUAGAUACCCUGGUAGUCCACACGGUAAACGAUGAAUACUCGCUGUUUGCGAUAUACAGCAAGCGGCCAAGCGAAAGCGUUAAGUAUUCCACCUGGGGAGUACGCCGGCAACGGUGAAACUCAAAGGAAUUGACGGGGGCCCGCACAAGCGGAGGAACAUGUGGUUUAAUUCGAUGAUACGCGAGGAACCUUACCCGGGCUUAAAUUGCAGAUGAAUUACGGUGAAAGCCGUAAGCCGCAAGGCAUCUGUGAAGGUGCUGCAUGGUUGUCGUCAGCUCGUGCCGUGAGGUGUCGGCUUAAGUGCCAUAACGAGCGCAACCCUUGUUGUCAGUUACUAACAGGUUCCGCUGAGGACUCUGACAAGACUGCCAUCGUAAGAUGUGAGGAAGGUGGGGAUGACGUCAAAUCAGCACGGCCCUUACGUCCGGGGCUACACACGUGUUACAAUGGGGGGUACAGAGGGCCGCUACCACGCGAGUGGAUGCCAAUCCCAAAAACCUCUCUCAGUUCGGACUGGAGUCUGCAACCCGACUCCACGAAGCUGGAUUCGCUAGCAAUCGCGCAUCAGCCACGGCGCGGUGAAUACGUUCCCGGGCCUUGUACACACCGCCCGUCAAGCCAUGGGAGCCGGGGGUACCUGAAGUGCGUAACCGCGAGGAGCGCCCUAGGGUAAAACUGGUGACUGGGG